rnacentral:rRNA from 1 species
CUAGGUCAGGCAUGGUCACCC